GAUGAAGAACGUAGCGAAAUGCGAUAAGUAGUGUGAAUUGCAGAAUUCCGUGAAUCAUCGAAUCUUUGAACGCACAUUGCGCCUUCUGGUAUUCCGGAAGGCAUGCCUGUUCGAGAGUCAUUAACAACCGUUUCGAUCCCUUUCUUUCAGAAAUUACGAAGAGGAAAAGGGUUUGGUUAUGGUGGAGGAGGGAAAGGGAGCGUUUAGCCUGUAAAAAAAGAGGCUGUGUUCCGCCUCCCCCCCAAAAUUGUACAGGCGGUCGUGUGCGCCCACGCAUCGAGGUGUUGUAAAAGCUGCCACGGCACUUUUCACCUGUGCAGUGCGAGAUUGGCCAGCCGGUUUAAAAACCCCUCCAAACAAUCAAAGGUUGACCUCGGAUCAGGUAGGGAUACCCGCUGAACUUAAGCAUAUCAAAAGCGGAGGA
rnacentral:misc_RNA from 1 species